UAAGACGUAGGUGGCAAGCGUUGUUCGGAAUCACUGGGCAUAAAGCGCGCGUAGGCGGCCAAGUCAGUCGGAUGUGAAAUACCUCGGCUCAACCGAGGAACUGCGUCCGAUACUGCUCGGCUUGAGGUCCGGAGGGGAGAGUGGAAUUCCCGGUGGAGCGGUGAAAUGCGUAGAGAUCGGGAAGAACGCCGGCGGCGAAAGCGACUCUCUGGUCGGAAUCUGACGCUGAGGCGCGAAAGCUAGGGGAGCAAACGGGAUUAGAUACCCCGGUAGUCCUAGCCAUAAACGAUGGGCGCUAGGUAGUGGUCGUUCCUAUGCGGUCACUGCUGGAGCAAAUGUCUUAAGCGCCCCGCCUGGGAAGUACGGUCGCAAGACU
rnacentral:rRNA from 1 species